GAUGAACGCUGGCGGCGUGCCUAACACAUGCAAGUCGAACGGAGAUUACGGACGGAAGUUUUCGGAUGGAAGACUGUAAUUCUUAGUGGCGGACGGGUGAGUAACGCGUGGGCAACCUGCCCUAUACAGGGGGAUAGCAGCUGGAAACGGCUGGUAAGACCGCAUAAGUCGGUUAAAUCGCAUGAUUUGAUCGGGAAAUGAGCAAUCAGGUAUAGGAUGGGCCCGCGUCCGAUUAGCCAGUUGGCAGGGUAAAAGCCUACCAAAGCGACGAUCGGUAGCCGGACCGGGGGGGCGGACGGCCCCAUUGGGACGGGGACCAGGCCCAAACCCCUACGGGAGGCAGCAGGGGGGGAUUUUGCCAAAUGGAGGAAACUCUGAUGCCGCGGCGCCGGGUGGGGGAAGAAGUAUUUCGGUAUGUAAAGCUCUAUCAGAAGGGAAGAGGCUGACGGUACCUGACUAAGAACCCCCGGCUAACUACGU
rnacentral:rRNA from 1 species